rnacentral:tRNA from 1 species
GGCUGAAUGGCAGAGUGGUCAUGCACCGGCCUGCAAAGCCGUGUACCUCGGUUCGAUUCCGGGUUCAGCCUCCA